rnacentral:rRNA from 1 species
AGUGAACGCUGGCGGUAGGCCUAACACACGCAAGUCGAACGGCAGCACAGUAAGAGCCUGCUCUUACGGGUGGCGAGUGGCGGACGGGUGAGGAAUACAUCGGAAUCUACUUUUUCGUGGGGGAUAACGUAGGGAAACUUACGCUAAUACCGCAUACGACCUACGGGUGAAAGCAGGGGAUCUUCGGACCUUGCGCGAUUGAAUGAGCCGAUGUCGGAUUAGCUAGUUGGCGGGGUAAAGGCCCACCAAGGCGACGAUCCGUAGCUGGUCUGAGAGGAUGAUCAGCCACACUGGAACUGGGACACGGUCCAGACUCCUACGGGAGGCAGCAGUGGGGAAUAUUGGACAAUGGGCGCAAGCCUGAUCCAGCCAUACCGCGUGGGUGAAGAAGGCCUUCGGGUUGUAAAGCCCUUUUGUUGGGAAAGAAAAGCAGCAGGUUAAUACCCCGCUGUUCUGACGGUACCCAAAGAAUAAGCACCGGCUAACUUCGUG